CCUACGGGAGGCAGCAGUGGGGAAUAUUGCGCAAUGGGCGAAAGCCUGACGCAGCGACGCAGCGUGAGGGACGAAGGCCUUCGGGUUGUAAACCUCUUUCAGCGGGGACGAAGCGAAAGUGACGGUACCCGCAGAAGAAGCACCGGCUAACUACGUGCCAGCAGCCGCGGUAAUACGUAGGGUGCAAGCAUUGUCCGGAUUUAUUGGGCGUAAAGAGCUCGUAGGCGGCUUGUCACGUCGGAUGUGAAAACUCGGGGCUCAACCCCGAGCCUGCAUUCGAUACGGGCUAGCUAGAGUGUUGCAGGGGAGACUGGAAUUCCUGGUGUAGCGGUGAAAUGCGCAGAUAUCAGGAGGAACACCGGUGGCGAAGGCGGGUCUCUGGGCAACUACCGACGCUGAGGAGCGAAAGCGUGGGGAGCGAACAGGAUUAGAUACCCUGGUAGUCCACGCCGUAAACGGUGGGCGCUAGGUGUGGGGAACCUUCCACGUUCUCUGUGCCGUAGCUAACGCAUUAAGCGCCCCGCCUGGGGAGUACGGCCGCAAGGCUAAAACUCAAAUGAAUUGACGG
rnacentral:rRNA from 1 species